rnacentral:rRNA from 1 species
UACGAAGGGUGCAAGCGUUACUCGGAAUUACUGGGCGUAAAGCGUGCGUAGGUGGUUUGUUAAGUCUGAUGUGAAAGCCCUGGGCUCAACCUGGGAAUUGCAUUGGAUACUGGCAGGCUAGAGUGCGGUAGAGGAUGGCGGAAUUCCCGGUGUAGCAGUGAAAUGCGUAGAGAUCGGGAGGAACAUCUGUGGCGAAGGCGGCCAUCUGGACCAGCACUGACACUGAGGCACGAAAGCGUGGGGAGCAAACAGGAUAGAAACCCUGGU